GUUGGACGCUAACGGCAGUUAGCCUCCAGACUUGUAUCUGUGUAGAAGCUAAGUGUGAAUAAAUCUGUAUCUGAGUGAAUUCUAGUUGUUUACCUACAACUAUUCCAUAUUCCGUCACUUCAUUAUUUAAACCAAUAAUUCGACCUGACCUUUGUGGUAGAAGGAACUGUUCAAAAGCGGGCUUUUUUGAUAGAUUCAGUUAAUUGAAUGAGGUGGGGCAGGUGGUCACGUAUCAAAACAUGGGUUCUCAUCAACUUCAGCACCUUAUGGAAUCCACACCAUGAAGAGUCAUUGCUGUCAUCUUGGAAUAAGGACUACACUCACUACAAGCUCUUGGGGAAGAAUGGGCUGCCAUUGUUCCACAGACAUUCAGACAUUGCACUGAAAACGUCCCCAGCCGAGUUCAAGCUGACAUAAAUGUGAAUGGUGGAUACGUCCCACAAUAGUGUCCACUAAUAGGUGUCUGGAUACUUUUGACAAGAUAGUGUAUUUGUUGAAGCUGUAGAGUAAGUGAACCAUCCUCUUGAUUAUUUUGGAUUAACAAGAAUAUUGUAUCCCAGUUCAUGUACUGAAGAGUUGUUUACGAAAAUGUUACAUUUCAAUGAACACAUUUUACAUUACCUCCUAUGAGUGGUGUAUUCUCAUU